CAAUAGCAUAUAUUAACGUUGUUGCAGUUGAAAAGCUCGUAGUUGAACUUUUGGUAGGAGCGACCUGGCCUUGGGCGCAUGCCCUUGUUUGCCGUGUGUCGUAUCUGGCCAUCCUUUUCCGCUUCGGCGGGAAUCUUUUACUGUGAGUAAACUGGAGUGCUCAAAACAAGACGUUUGUUUGGUACAUUAAAGCAUGGAAUAAUAAGAUAGGACCUGGUUACUAUUUUGUUGGUUUGCAUAGCUAGGUAAUGAUUAACAGGGACAGUUGGGGGUAUUCGUAUUUAAUUGUCAGAGGUGAAAUUCUUGGAUUUAUGAAAGACGAACGACCGCGAAAGCAUUUACCAAGGAUGUUUUCAUUAA
rnacentral:rRNA from 1 species